rfam:Monodelphis domestica chromosome 2, whole genome shotgun sequence.
CCAAGGGCUCUUUUAAGAGCCACCCACACUUUCAAAGAAAAGAGCU